GGAUCAAGAUUGGUGCAUUCUUCAGUAAAACUCUGGCAAUAGCAAUUCUCUGCAGAUCAAUUAAACAUAAACAUGAGUCAAUCACCUGGAGCUCCUCUGUCUCUCUCUCUCAUAUUCGCACCCAUUUAUUACCUGUCUCUGUCCUCCACUCAGUAAGCCUCCACGCUCGCCAACUAUUUGUCAUAACCCUUUUAAUCAACAAAAAGAGUCAAUAAAAAUUAUAAAUUGGCGGCAGGAAGAAAAUAGAAGAGACUAUUUUGGGAACAACUGACCUGUGGAAGUGAAAUUAUGAAGUCUCUGCCUUUUGUGAGUUUUCAUAAUCUUUUAAUUUUCAGUUUUUGAAUAUUACUAGAAAUAUUGUAUUUAUGAUUUUUACAUCAUAUUAGUUAAUAUGGCUAAUAGAGUUUAAAAUAUGAUAUUUGUGGCUAUAGUUACAAUUAAGUCUUUAUUCUCUCAUCUUGAAAAGCUUGGUUUGUCAUUAUUUUCUCUUUUUCUUCUUUUUACAUAACCCACCUGCUUAUUUUGUUAUAUUUAAUAACACAGUGAGUUUACUUGCACCAUCAGGAAAGAAAUGAGGAGACAGACCUUCGAAUUUAACGUAUUUGCUUCAAUGCUAAAAGCUAAGGAUCUUACCUCUACCCACAAGCAUAGCACAAUUGAGAAUAUGUCAGGUAUAAAGUGCAGGUACCUAGGGAAAUCUGAUCAUCCAGUCCCAAAACGUAGUCCAUGUCCAAGAUGAUGGGUCAUACUCCGGUACACCAACAAACCAGACGCCAA
rnacentral:lncRNA from 1 species